CAGUAGCCACGGUAAUACGUAGGGUGCGAGCGUUAAUCGGAAUUACUGGGCGUAAAGCGUGCGCGGGCGGUUAUAUAAGACAGAUGUGAAAUCCCCGGGCUCAACCUGGGAACUGCUUCUGAGACUGAACGACUAGAGUACGGUAGAGGGUGGUGGAAUUUCCGGUGUAGCGGUGAAAUGCGUAGAUAUCGGAAGGAACAUCAAUGGCGAAGGCAGCCACCUGGGCCUGUACUGACACUGAGACACGAAAGCGUGGGGAUCAAACAGGAUUAGAGACCCCCGUAGUCCCUGUCUCUUAUAC
rnacentral:rRNA from 1 species